UACGUAGGGGGCAAGCGUUGUCCGGAUUUACUGGGCGUAAAGAGCGCGUAGGCGGCUCGGUUAGUGUGAAGCUAAAUCUCUGGGCUCAACCCAGAAACUAUUUCGCAUACUGCCAAGCUGGAGUGAUGAAGAGGUUUGUGGAAUUCCUGGUGUAGCGGUGAAAUGCGUUGAUAUCAGGAGGAACACCCAUGGCGAAGGCAGCAAACUGGUCAUCAACUGACGCUGAGGCGCGAAAGCGUGGGUAGCAAACAGG
rnacentral:rRNA from 1 species